rnacentral:ncRNA from 2 species
GUUCGCGCCACUGUCUCAGGUGCCUAACGAGCAACGCCCUCGUUGUUCUGGUUAGGGUAAACGGGAAAUAUGGUGAGAUAUGAAUUUCACAGUGAAAUGUAUCAAUUCCAUUGCUGCCCCCGCAACGGUAAAGCACAAAGUGCAAGCCCGACACCGGCCUGAAUAAACACGCUCAC